UGGGGAAUUUUGCGCAAUGGGCGGAAGCCUGACGCAGCAACGCCGCGUGGAGGAUGAAGGUCUUUGGAUUGUAAACUCCUGUCAGCAGGGAAAAAGGGACUCGACCUCAUACGUCGGGAACUUGAUUGUACCUGCAGAGGAAGCCCCGGCUAACUCUGUGCCAGCAGCCGCGGUAAUACAGAGGGGGCAAGCGUUAUUCGGAAUUAUUGGGCGUAAAGGGCGCGUAGGCGGCUUUGCAAGUGACGGGUGAAAUCCCUCGGCUUAACCGAGGAACUGCCUGUCAGACUGCAUUGCUUGAGUCCGGGAGAGGUGAGUGGAAUUCCCAGUGUAGCGGUGAAAUGCGUAGAUAUUGGGAGGAACACCAGUGGCGAAGGCGGCUCACUGGACCGGAACUGACGCUGAGGCGCGAAAGCGUGGGGAGCAAACAGG
rnacentral:rRNA from 1 species